rnacentral:rRNA from 1 species
GCUUAACGCGAAGAACCUUACCUACUCUUGACAUCCAGAGAACUUAGCAGAGAUGCUUUGGUGCCUUCGGGAACUCUGAGACAGGUGCUGCAUGGCUGUCGUCAGCUCGUGUUGUGAAAUGUUGGGUUAAGUCCCGCAACGAGCGCAACCCUUAUCCUUUGUUGCCAGCGGUUCGGCCGGGAACUCAAAGGAGACUGCCAGUGAUAAACUGGAGGAAGGUGGGGAUGACGUCAAGUCAUCAUGGCCCUUACGAGUAGGGCUACACACGUGCUACAAUGGCAUAUACAAAGAGAAGCGACCUCGCGAGAGCAAGCGGACCUCAUAAAGUACGUCGUAGUCCGGAUUGGAGUCUGCAACUCGACUCCAUGAAGUCGGAAUCGCUAGUAAUCGUAGAUCAGAAUGCUACGGUGAAUACGUUCCCGGGUCUUGUACACACCG